GCUGAGCUUAGAAAGCUGAGGUGGGAGGAUUGCUUAAGUCCAGGAAUUCUGGGUUAUAAUGCACUAGGCAUCUGCACUAAAUUUGGCAUCAUGUGGUGACCUCCUAGGAGCAGGGAACCAGACCACAUGGUCGCCCAAGGAGAAGUGAACUGGCCCAGGUCAGAAAUGGAGCAAGUCAAAACUUUCAUGUUGAUCAGUAGCAGGAUCACACCUGUGACUAGCCUCUGCACUGGAACAACAUAGUGAGAUCCCAUUUCU
rnacentral:SRP_RNA from 1 species